AAAAUGCCCCAAAUCUAUUAAUAGAAUUUUUAUAAAUAUACAUUGGAAAGUAUUUAAAAAUAUACCCAAAACACCAUUCCAACUAGACUAUGGGACGGCGCGGCGGUUGACGACAUUAGUGGUGGAAGAAAGCUGAGCAGCAGGGGGGAUAGCAUCCCCGGUAGGAGCAUCAACGGAAGCAGAAGCACCGCGACCAGGUUGAGGUUGGAGGUGUCCCUGGGUUCCAUAUCCCUGCUGCUUGUAAUCCUCCAAGUCCUUGUACUGUGUGUAGGGACUAGUAUUCACUGGCAGCCCUUCCAACUUCCCUCCCUUCUCUUCCUUGUCUUUCCUCUCCAUUUUGCCCUCCACCUCUAUUAUUAUCACUUAUAUCUGCCCAAAAAAAAAACCUGUCUCUUUUCUCGAAUUGUUCUGGGCUUCAGAUUGAUAUAGCUGAUCAGUCGGUAGAUUGUUCUUUGAUUGAUUUUGUGAACUCCAGGAAUUCGUAUUAUAUGGUUUC
rnacentral:lncRNA from 1 species